CCUACGGGAGGCAGCAGUAGGGAAUCUUCCGCAAUGGGCGAAAGCCUGACGGAGCAACGCCGCGUGAGUGAAGAAGGUCUUCGGAUCGUAAAACUCUGUUAUUAGGGAAGAACAAAUGUGUAAGUAACUAUGCACGUCUUGACGGUACCUAAUCAGAAAGCCACGGCUAACUACGUGCCAGCAGCCGCGGUAAU
rnacentral:rRNA from 3 species